GCUAGGGAACAUUGCUGCCUGUGUCCUACCUGUUUUCUGGCUACACAUGCUCAGGUAGAUCUGCCUAGGUACCCUUCGUACCAGUCUGCGCACAUUUACCGGAUGUACGUAAGUGCUUUUUUAGUGAGAUUAUUGAAUACAUUUCAUAUAAGGGCUUCGCGUGAAAAUUGAACAUGUGAGGAAUAAAAAGCAAAAGAAAUAUCUACGUAUGUUUUAUGUAACUCUAGAACGUGACUUUGGUAAUGUUGAUUCGGCUGACGAGAUUUAUAAGUAGCCUUGUAAAAAUGAUAAAAACGUGUUUAGAUAACGAUAAAGAUUGAUAUUUUUUACAAUACGAGAUGGAAAUUUAAAAGUACUUAAUUUAAAAGUAGUAAAUAUAAAAGUAUUCCAAAUCUCAAAUUCACAAGCGGACAUUUUCUCCAUGGGUGGCUUGAGCGUCGUUACAAACGUUUCGGUUUACCUGCACAGGUUUCUCCGGUUCAGGCACGUCCAAUGAUUUUUCAUAAUUUCUUCGAUCGCCUAUACAGGUCAUAAUAACUGUUCAAUUUGUCAUACACACUUUCGAUAAGCCUGUACAGAUUUACCUGAGCAUCUCUAGCAAAUUUUGAGAAGAUGCUCAAGACAAUAAAAUAUUUUCCGCUAUUUACUACUA